rnacentral:misc_RNA from 1 species
AAUAAUCAACCUUUCCAGUUCAUUUGAACUGGCUUUCAAAGGUAUUGGAUAUGGGAGAAAAUUGCAGGCUUUUGUAUUAAAGUCAGCUCUCCUUAAAUGUAUUAGCAGAACCAAAUUUUAUGUUAAAAUAGCAUCUCAAGGUGUGAUAAGUAUCUACACCCCACAUGAGAUGCAUAAGUUUUACUUAAAAUAAUUAAUGGAGCUCAGCUUUCUAAAGUUUGCUUUAUGUUAUUAUUAUCAAUAAUUUAAAAGCAACUUGUCAUUAAAA